AUGAUUUGUUUUUGUGUCACCCCGGUGCGCGUCUACAGCCCAUACCAAGAGUACUAUGAGGUGGUGCCUCCCAACGCACAUGAGGCCACCUAUGUCCUCAACUACCACGGGUUGCCUUACGCAGGCCCCGGUGUGACACACGUCAUAGUGCGAGAGGAUCCCUGCUACAGCGCUGGCGCCCCUCUGGCAAUGGGCAUGCUUGCGGGAGCCGACACUGGGGCAGUGCUUGAUUUGGACCAUUCCGCCGACUCCCUACCCUCACUUCUCACAUGGGAAGAAGCUAUCAUCCCAGAAAAAGGUAACUUUUUUCUGUGGGUGUGGUCAUCUACAAGCCACGAAGAGAAGGAUCAUCAGAAACCAAACCUGUCGGGGCCCCGUGCCCAGCUCUUUGCCUGCCUGCUCAGGCUGGGCACUCAGCAGGUCAGCCCCCUUCAGCUUCACACAGGGGUCAGCCACGCAGCCAGGAACCAUUAUGAGGUGCUGGUGCUGGGUGGGGGCAGUGGUGGGAUCACCAUGGCCGCCCGCAUGAAGAGGAAAGUGGGUGCAGAGAAUGUGGCCGUUGUUGAGCCCAGUGAGAGACAUUUCUACUAGCCAAUCUGGACACUAGUGGGUGCUGGUGCCAAACAACUGUCCUCCUCUGGCCGCCCACUGCGAGUGUGAUACCAUCUGGUAUAGAGUGGAUCAAAGCUAGAGUGGUUGAGUUGAACCCAGACAAGAGCUGCAUUCACACAGACAACGGCAAGGAGAUCUCCUACCGAUAUCUUAUUAUUGCCCUCGGAAUCCAGCCGGACUAUGAGAAGAUUAAAGGCUUACCUGAAGGUUUUGCUCAUCCCAAAAUAGGGUCAAAUUAUUCAGUUAAGACUGUAGAGAAGACAUGGAAAGCUCUGCAGGAUUUCAAAGAGGGCAAUGCUGUCUUUACCUUCCCAAAUACUCCAGUGGAAUGUGCUGGAGCCCCUCAGAAGAUCAUGUAUUUAUCAGAAGCCUACUUCAGGGAGACAGGGAAGCGAUCCAAGGCCAAUAUCAUUUUCAACACUUCUCUUGGAGCCAUUUUCGGGGUUAAGAAGUAUGCAGAUGCCCUGCAGGAGAUCAUCCGGGAGCGGAACCUCACUGUUAACUACAAGCAAAACCUCAUUGAAGUCCGAGCCAAUAAACAGGAGGCUGUAUUUGAAAACCUGGACAAACCUGAAGAGACCCAAGUGAUUUCAUAUGAAAUGCUUCAUGUCACACCACCAAUGAGCCUACCAGACGUCCUCAAGACCAGUCCUGUGGCUGAUGCUGCUGGCUGGGUGGAUGUGGAUAAAGAAACUCUGCAACACAAGAGGUACCCAAACGUGUUUGGGAUUGGGGACUGCACCAACCUUCCUACAUCCAAGACUGCUGCUGCAGUAGCUGCCCAGUCAGGAAUACUUGAUAGAACAAUUUCUCUGAUUAUGAAGAAUCAAACACCAACAAAGAAGUAUGAUGGCUACACAUUAUGUCCACUGGUGACCGGCUACAACUGUAUGAUUCUUGCUGAGUUUGACUACAAAGCGGAGCCGCUAGAAACCUUACCUGUUGAUCAAAGCAAAGAGCGCCUUUCCAUGUACCUCAUGAAAGCUGACCUGAUGCCUCUCCUGUAUUGGAAUAUGAUGCUAAGGGGUUACUGGGGAGGACCAGCGUUUCUGUGCAAGUUGUUUCAUCUGGGUAUGAGUUAAGGAUGGCUCAGCACUUGCUCAUCUUGGAUGGCUUCUGGGCCAAGACUGCAGUCACUGAAUGACCAAGAGCAGCAUGAGGACUUGGCACCUAUCCCUGUAAAGAGAUUCUUUAUGGAUAAUGGUGACCAAAUACCUCCCUUUCCAGUAACUUUGAACAGCCACUAUGUGGGCUCCUCAUGAUGGGUUCGAUUCUUUGGGAAUAAUAAAAUGAAA